rnacentral:lncRNA from 1 species
GCUGUGUGUGAAGUCCUCCGUGCCGUCUGACCCACUUUAACUUUCUCAUUUGUUUGUUUUCUGGCUUCCCCUCUGGAAGCAUUGCCCCAUGAGGGGAAUGUGUGUGUUAUGGCUGCUUUCUUACCUUUGCCUGUGGCACUGUGCCAUGCGCAAGCGAGCUCAAGCGUUAAACACAGAAAGAAUACGAGGAAGAACACACAGCAGAUCUGAAAGCACCUUGGAAACCAGUGGCUGCUUUUACCAGCACCUACAUCUUUUAACAGGCUAUGGCUGGUUGUCAUAGAAAGGCCUCAUCCCUGGAAGGUUUCUGCAGAACCUGAAACUGCCAGACCCCUGACCUAAGAAAAUGGAAGUCUUAGGUGAUCAUGGACCCUAAUGGGGGCACCAAGGGAUUAAGAGAUUAUGAAAAGAAAAGUUUAAGACUAGAAAAUCCCCAUGUGAGGGCUGACUGGCCUAUGAACCACCAAGACAACCUAAAGUAGGUAAACUGAAGCUGGCCUGGCUUGGCCUCCCCCUGGGACCUUAAUGGACUCGCAUCCUGGGAGUCUGGGUCCCAAGACCUAAUCCCUCUUUUGGCAUCGCUUGAUGUUGGACUCAAAGGAGACGCUCCUCUGCCCUGCAAUAAGAACUCAGUGUGGCCACAGGCUCACCAGCCUUGUCGUCUUCCUGGGCCAUGGAGAAGACUGCAUUUCCCAGCCUCAACUCCCAAGGCGAUGACGUGCUAUGGUUGGCUCCCACCAAAACUCAUCUCGAAGUGUGGUUGCCGAGGCAAUUGUGUUGGCACCCACUGCCUAUCACUUGCAUGUCCCUUGCAGAGAUGGCACCCAGCAUGUCAUGACAACUUUACCAGUUUAGACCACCGAAUCUCCACCUUCUUGGCUUCCAGGACUGUGUGAUAAAUAAACCUACUUUCCUAGUGAAUUAUCUUGUAUAAGACGGUCUGCUAUAGAAGCAGUUCUCCACCUAUGGGUCAACUGACCCCUUCAUAGGGGUCUCCUAAGACUAGGAAACACAGAUAUUUACAUUAUGGUUCGUAACAGUAGCAAAAUUACAGUUAUGAAGUAGUAGCAAAAAUACUUGUAUGGUUGGGUUACCACAAAAUAAUGUUGUGUAUUAAAGGGUCUCAACAUUAGGAAGGUUGAGAACCACUGGGCUAUAGAAUCAUAAAAUGGACUAACAUACCAUGCAACUGGGUUCUUACAGAAGGUGUGUAUACAGACACGAUAUUUGCUAUUCCUAGGUCCAGCCUUUCCACUACCCCUAGAGUGACACUUCUUGCUUUGUCCCCUGCCUCCCACCAUGCCCAUGAGUUGAAGAUAAGGGUCUCAUAAAACAGAAGCAUCUUGGGAAGCUGAGGUCACAGGAUCAGAAGUUCAAGGACACUCUCUGCUACAUCUGCUGGUUUAGUUCCAGCUUGGACUACGUAAGACCCUGAGCCUUGUCCCCUGCACCACCACCCCCUGCCCAGGAAAAGAAGGAGAUUGGAUAUGGGAGUUGCUGUGCUCAGGCAAUUCAUUGACCUGGACUGUAUUUGUGCAAGCAAGAAAUAAACCUUUAUUACCACUGCA